ensembl:lincRNA Gm43293 predicted gene 43293
AGCAGCCCCAGCAGUAGCAGGUGACUGCAGCCCCAGCAGCCUAAGAAAAGGCAGCCGCAGUGAACAGCGUGUCGGAAGCAUUCCUUCUCCAUCCCAGGAAGUAGGAGAUCCUGUUCUAAGCACUAGCAAGAGGAGCCUGACUCCUCCAGAAUCCCAGAUCUUCUCCAGGAGCCUGGCACCAGGGUGAAACUUGGGAUGAGAAGAAGCUGGAAAGAGACAGAAACUGGCAGACUCCCUCCUGACCCUCUCCCUCAGAAGUGACACUCAGGGAACAUUAUAGUUCCACCAGCCUGGAGGACUUUUUGUCCCUUUGGGGAUGUGGGCUGUGAACGGAGGCUAAUCAGACAAAGUAUGGCAAGAUCAAUGGCACAAUCUGCGGAAUCUU